rnacentral:rRNA from 1 species
AACGAACGCUGGCGGCAUGCCUCAUACAUGCAAGUCGAACGAAGGCUUCGGCCUUAGUGGCGCACGGGUGAGUAGCGCGUGGGAACCUGCCCUGGAGUGGGGAAUAACCGAGGGAAACUUCGGCUAAUACCGCAUACGCCGGGAAACCGGGAAAGAUUUAUCGCUCUAGGAGGGGCCCGCGUCGGAUUAGCUAGUUGGUGGGGUAACGGCCUACCAAGGCGACGAUCCGUAGCUGGUCUGAGAGGAUGAUCAGCCACACUGGGACUGAGACACGGCC